CGAAAGCCUGACGGAGCAACGCCGCGUGAGGGAUGAAGGCCUCUGGGCUGUAAACCUCUUUUCUCAAGGAAGGAGAUCUGACGGUACUUGAGGAAUAAGCCACGGCUAAUUCCGUGCCAGCAGCCGCGGUAAUACGGGAGUGGCAAGCGUUAUCCGGAAUCAUUGGGCGUAAAGCGUCCACAGGCGGCCUUGUAAGUCUGCCGUUAAAGCGUGGAGCUCAACUCCAUUUCAGCGGUGGAAACUACAAGGCUUGAGUGUGGUAGGGGCAGAGGGAAUUCCCGGUGUAGCGGUGAAAUGCGUAGAUAUCGGGAAGAACACCAGUGGCGAAGGCGCUCUGCUGGGCCAUAACUGACGCUCAUGGACGAAAGCCAGGGGAGCG
rnacentral:rRNA from 1 species